AUAUAUAUAUAUAUAUAUACAGUAAAACCUGUUUUUUUGUGCGGUUCUUUUUUAUGCGAUUUUGUUUUUGUGCGACUGGUUUUGUACGAUUUUUUUUGUGCGAUUUAUUUUUAUGCGGUAUAUGAAUCUUAGCGGCGUUAGCACUAAUUUAAUGUUUCCUAUCAAUGUACAUAUACAUGUGUGGACGAACUCUGAUUACGUGGUCUCCUUGACAACGAUGUAUCUGGACUUCGCGGUGCUCUGUUCAUUUAUUUUGAACAAUUUCCUGACAAGGCAGAGUCAGAACUACGUACACAGUAUUGUCGUUCAACGCGCGAACAACAUUCAUACGCUUCGUAUUCAGAGUUUUAUCCACGAUUCACGUGAUUAAGGAUUCAUUUUAUAGUGAGAUUGAAGACAUAAGUACUCCCUUAAAAUGAAUAACUAUAGCCAAAAGAAAAUAAAAAGACAAACAAUUCCAUUAGAAACAAAAAUUCUAAUAUUAAAUAAACUAGCAGAUGGUGAAGGAUCCACAGCUGUUGCUAAUGAAUUUAAAUUAGGUGAAUCCUAAUCAAUCAGAGCUAUACACAAACGUGCGAGUAAAAUAUAUGAAUCUCUUAAUAGUGCAACAAACGACAGUAGUAAAAGAGCAUCGUAUUCGAGAAAUAUUGUAAUAGAGAAGACGGAAAAGGCUCUCGUGUUGUGAGUUAAAGAUUUAACUAAAAAACGAAUCCCCGUUCACAAAGAAUUAAUUCAAGAAAAGGCUAGACAGUAUUUCAACCAACUGAAGGAUUUAGAACCAAGUUCGUCAUCCUGUUUGUGAAACGUGACAUUUUCUGCGAGCAAUGGCUGGUUUGCUGGAUUUUUACAACGGUACGCACUUCACAAUGUGAAGAUACAAGGCGAGGCAGCGUCCGCCGAUGAAACGGCUGCUAUGAAUUAUCGCAAAGUAUUAGCGGAAAUCAUUGAUGAUGGUGGAUAUUGCCCAGAUCAAGUAUUUAAUGCAGAUGAGACUGGGCUAUUCUGGAAAAAGAUGCCCAGUCGAACAUUCAUUGCGAAAUCGGAGAAAACUGCAAGUGGUUUUAAAGUGGCAAAGGAUCGAAUCACACUUCUUCUUUACAGUAAUGCCUCUGGUACAAAGAUGUUAACACCACUUAUUAUAAAUAAAGCUUUACACCCACGUGCGCUAAAAGGCGUAAAUUUAUCUGAAAUACAAAAAACAUCGGCGGAGAAGGCUUUGAUUCUUUCAGCGAUAAUGACCUGAACGAGAUGAUUGAGGACCAAGCUGUGGAUGAUGGUGACAUUAUCAAUAGUUUGAUAGAUUAUGAAAAUGGACGGGUAGAACUGGAAUCUAUUACAGCAGAUAAAAUAUAUGCAGGGAUCCAGAUUUCGAAAAAAUUGGAAACGCAUUUUUUUCAAAUAGAUACCAAUGUCGAAAGACGCUUAAAAUUCCAAAAAGAGCUCAGAUCAUGCAUGUCUCACUAUCGUGACGUUUACAAGCAAUUGACCAGUCGACCGUCGUCACAAAAACUGAUCACUGACUUUAUGGUACCAAAAAACAAAUCAAUUGAAAUCCUAUCUUCAAGCGACGAAAGCGAUUUUCAACCAAUUCAUCAYAAGAAGAUGCGCGUUUUGGAUUACGACGAGUAGCAGCAAACUAUUUAACGUAUAAUUUGAAAACUUCUCCAUUUAUAUGUACAAUGAAAAAUUAAAUAUUAUUACAAUUUC